GGACGAACGCUGGCGGCGUGCCUAAUACAUGCAAGUCGAACGGUCUUUCUAUGGAAGCUUGCUUCCACUGAGGAGAUAGUGGCGAACGGGUGAGUAACACGUGGGUAACCUGCCCAUAAGAGGGGGGAUAACAUCCGGAAACGGGUGCUAAUACCGCAUAGUUUUCUUGAUCGCAUGAUCGGGAAAGGAAAGACGGCCUUUGUGCUGUCGCUUAUGGAUGGACCCGCGGCGUAUUAGUUAGUUGGUGAGGUAACGGCUCACCAAGACGAUGAUACGUAGCCGACCUGAGAGGGUGAUCGGCCACAUUGGGACUGAGACACGGCCCAAACUCCUACGGGAGGCAGCAGUAGGGAAUCUUCCGCAAUGGACGAAAGUCUGACGGAGCAACGCCGCGUGAGUGAAGAAAGGUUUUCGGAUCGUAAAACUCUGUUGUCAGAGAAGAACAAGUUGGAGAGUAACUGCUCCAGCCUUGACGGUAUCUGACCAGAAAGCCACGGCUAACUACGUGCCAGCAGCGGC
rnacentral:rRNA from 1 species